rnacentral:rRNA from 1 species
GACGGAGGAUGCAAGUGUUAUCCGGAAUCACUGGGCGUAAAGCGUCUGUAGGUUGUUAAGUAAGUCAACUGUUAAAUCUUGAAGCUCAACUUCAAAAUCGCAGUCGAAACUGCUUGACUAGAGUAUAGUAGGGGUAAAGGGAAUUUCCAGUGGAGCGGUGAAAUGCGUAGAUAUUGGAAAGAACACCGAUGGCGAAGGCACUUUACUGGGCUAUUACUGACACUCAGAGACGAAAGCUAGGGUAGCAAAUGGG